rnacentral:lncRNA from 10 species
GUUUAGAACUGGAUCCUACUCCAGUUAAGGCUUGAAAUGACUGUAGCUUCAGCCAACACCUGACUGCAGCCUCAUGAGAGACCCUAACGCAGAGGACCCUGCUGUGCAUAACUGGAAACUAUGGUUUCUUAGCAGGAUGGCUGUGACUCAGGAUCUCUCAUAAAAUUUAAGUCAAUCUAUUGGCUGAGGCUGCUGUCAUCUGAAGGCUUGACUGGGCUGGAGGAUCUACUUCCAAGAAGGUGCACUCCCAUGGCUAUUAGCUGGAGGCCUGCAUUCCUCAAAGGCUCUUGGCUAGAGGCCUCAGUUAAUUCCUGACCAUACGGGCCUCUCCACAGGGCUACCUGAGUAUCCUCAAGACAUGGCAACUGGCCUUCCCCAGAGACAGUGAUUCAAAAAUGAGAAAGAGAGGCUAAGAUGGAAGGCACAAUACUUUUUUAUAAAUUAGCCUUUAACAUCUUUCAGAGGUGGAACUUAAUUCCUCUCCCUUUAUGUGUGGGCUGGAUUUAGUGAGUUGAUUCUCAUAGACAGAAUAAAACAAAGCACAAGUGUUUAUUUUUUUUCUUGUACUUCCUGUAGUUUUACCUUUGUGAAUAUUGAUAUUGUGUUAUUCAGUGCUUCUAUCUGCACUGUUAAUUGCACUUUUUAACAAAAUUGAAAGCCCAUUUUGACUUAUUUAAUGCUUUGUCCUGUAUUCAACCUUGUCUGAUAUUAAAAUGACUAACUUGUUUUCUUUUUGUUUGCAUUGUCUGGUAUAUUUCACUCAUCCAUUUGUUUUCAAACUUUCUGAAUUGCUUGCUUUAGGGGUGUUUCUUAUGUACAGCAUAAACUUUAGAUUUUCUUUGUGAUGUAUUCUAAAAGUUAUUUUCUUUCAAUGGGUGAGGUUAGUCCAUGUAUGGUAACUGAUAUGACAAGUUUUGUAUUGCUUCUGUCAUACAAUUUUAUAUUGUGUUUUUCUAUUUUAUAGUUUUAUAAAAUUUUUAACAUAUGCUCUACUUCACACAUUUUAUUUUUCAUGAUAAAUAGGAAGUUUUACAUUUUUAUAAAUAUUUACCCUUAAAUUGUAAGUUUGCCUGAUAAUGAAUCUUGGAUUUAUUUAGGCAACAUGUAUUACUUAUUCCAAGAAUAAAGAAAUGUCUAUGUAUAUAUUUUCUCCUAUUCUUUUUUCUACCAUCCAAUUUCUUGUUUUUAAAAUAGAGAUGGGGUCUCACUCCAUCACCCAGGCUGGAGUGCAGUGGUAUGAUCAUAGCUUAUUGCAGCCUCGACCUCCUGGGCUCAAGUGAUCCUCCUGCCUUGGCUUCCCAAAGUGCUGGGAUUACAGGUGUGAGCCACAGCACCCAGCCACUACCAUCUAAUUUUUGUAAAUUAUUUUAUCUUUCUUAGUGUUCUUUUUUGUACUGUUAGAUUUACUCUUGCCCAUAUUUUUUAAUAUUAAGAUGAUAUUCUUUAAUGUGCAACUACUAAAGAUGAGAAAAUCACAUCACAGUUUUAUGGAUAUAAAUUUGCUUAGCCUUUACUUUCCAGCUGAUUUAACACUUACCUCCCAACUUAUGUUACUUAUAUCUUGUCUCCUUUUUUACUGCAUCUAACACUUACUUUCUGUUCUGUAAUUCUAACCACACAUUUGUUUUCGUCUUAGAGCUGUUACAAUCAGGGAUCCUGCAGGUUCCUUUCCUCUCAUGGCUUGAUUGGCUGAAGUUUGGCCUCUAGGAUAUUCCUCAAGAGGAGAUUAAGAAUAUAUUCUCUGAAUUCUUGGAUAUUCAAAAAUAUUUGAUUUUUUUUUUUUUUGAGACAAAGUCUUGCUUGUCACGCAGGCUGGAGUGCAGUGACGUGAUCUUGGCUCACUGCAACCUCCGCCUCCUGGGUUCAAGUGAUUCUCCUGCCUCAGCCUCCUGAGGAGCUAGGACUACAGGUGUGCACCACCACACCCAGCUCAUUUUUGUGUUUUUAGUAGAAACAGGGUUUCACCAUAUUGGCCAGUCUGGUCUCGACCUCCUGACCUUGUGAUCCACCCACCUCGGCUUCCUAAAGUGCUGGGAUUACAGACAUGAGCCACCAUGCCCGGCACCUUGACUCUUUUUCUUAUAGCCAAAUAACAUAUUUAGGUUGCACAUUCCUUCCCUGAAGAUGUUGUAGGUGUUACUUCACUGACUUAGGCAUUGAUUACUGCUAUGGAGCACUCUGGGGCCAGCACACUUUUGUCUUUUUUUUUUUUUUUUUUUUUUUUUUCAGAUAGAGCCUUGCUCUGUUGCCCAGGCUGGAGUGCAGUGGUGCGAUCUCGCUCACUGCAAGCUCCACCUCCCGGGUUCAUGCCAUUGUCCUGCCUCAGCCUCCCAAGUAGCUGGGACUACAGGCGCCUGCCACCACGCCCGGCUAAUUUUUUGUAUUUUUAGUAGAGUCGGGGUUUCACCGUGUUAGCCGGGAUGGUCUCGAUCUCCGGACUUCGUGAUCCACCUGCUUUGGCCUCCCAAAGUGCUAGGAUUACAGGCCACUUUUUUCUUUUAUAAAUGACUCUGCCCAGAUGCCAAAAAAAAUGUUGUUUAGUUGUUGUUUUGAAGUCCAGUAACUUUCCUAUGAUAUGUCUCAGUUGGCUCUUCUGAGCCAAUUUCCCUAGAAUAUAGUGUGCUCUUUCUUAUGUAGAUACAAGUCUUCUUUCAUUUUGGGGAAGUUUUUAAAAUUAUAUUUUUAAGUAUUUAGUUAUAAUUCAACAUUUUCUUCUUCAGCAACCUGAAAUAUGUGUAUAUAUAAUCUCCUUGUGCUUAUCUUCGUAUCUUCUUCCUUUUAAUCCUUUUAACUCUAUAUUUCUUCAUUUGUCUUCGAUUUUUACUUCAUUUGUCUUGACUUUCCCCCAUUUCCUUUUCUUCUUUUUCUUUUCUUUUUUUCAGGCAGGAUCUCCCUCUGUCACCCAGGCUGGAGUACAUUAGUAUAAUCAUAGCUCACUGUAAACUUGAGCUCCUGGGAUCAAGCAAUCCUUCUACCUCAGCCUCUCAAGUAGCUGAGAUUACAGGUGUGCACUACCAUGCCCGGCAAUUUUUUUUUUUCUUUUUUUUGUAGAGAUGGGGUUUUGCUGUGUGGCCCAGGAAUGGUCUUGAACUCCUGGGCUCGAGUGAUCCUCCCACCUUGGCCUCCCAAAAUACUGGGAUUACAGGCAUGAGCCGCCGUGCCCGGCCUUUCCUUCCACUUCUAUCCUUUGUGUUCCCUGCUGUGAUUUUAGUGGCAUCUAGUCAUUUUGGUGCUUCUUCCAAUUUCACUUUCAUUUCUGUCAUGAUUUUAUUUUUUUCCUUCAAUCUUUCUCCCGAGUUCUGCUAGAUCACAUUUCACCUCCCCUCUGUUGCCUCAUGAGCUCUCUCUUGAGCUUUUUUUUUAAGAUAGCGUCUCACUUUGUCACCCAGGUUGGAGUGCAAUGCUGUGAUCACAGCUCACAGCCUUGACCUCCUGAGUUCAAGCUAUCCUCCCGAGUAGCUGGGACCACAGGCACAGGUCAGCUAAUUUUUUUUUUUUAAUCAUUUUGUAGAGAUAGGAUCUCACCAUGUUGCCCAGGCUUGUCUCAAACUCCUGGGCUGAAGCAAUUCUCUUACCUUGGUUUCCCAAAGUGCUGGGAUUACAGGUGUGAGUCACUGUGCCUGGCCUCUCUUGAGUUCUUGUAUCUCUGAUUCUUUCUUCAUAGAAUCAAUUGCUUCAUUUUUUAGAUUAAUAGCAAAAGGUUUGGUCAUAAUUUUCAUCUACUUUAUGAAGAUAAUUUUCUGGUGCUUGCCUACCACUUGUUUUAUUUUUUUCCUGUCAUUAUAUCAUCCACUAUUGGUUUCUUUUUGACUUUCAUCUGCG